rnacentral:rRNA from 1 species
ACUGGCUACUGUGCUGGCUGGUGAAUGGCUCGGCUCGAGAGCCGAUGACGGACGUGCCAAGCGGCGAUACGCUCAGGGGAGCUGCAUGGAAGCGAAGAACCUGAGAUUUCCGAAUGGGAAUCCCACAACACUUGCAUCACGCAAGGGGGAACGCUCUGAACUGAAACAUCUCAGUAGGAGCAGGAAGAGAACGCAAUUGCGAUGUCGUCAGUAACCGCGAGUGAACGCGACACAGUCCAAACCGAAUCCGACAGGAUAUGUGGUGUAUGGGCACACACAAUCGCGUGGCGGACCGAUCAGAACUCUCCUGGAACGGAGGGCGAGACAGGGUGACAGCCCCGUACGAUCUGUCCGACGCGUGAGGUGUGACCCGGAGUAGCGAGGGUUGGAUAUCCUUCGUGAAGGACGCAGGCAACGACUGCGAAGACUAAACACUCCUCGAGACCGAUAGCGCACACGUAGCGUGAGCGAACGAUGAAAAGCACCCCGAACAGGGCGGUGCAAAGAUCCUGAAAUCAGUCAGCGAAAGAACGAUGUGGCAUACAAGGUCACGAUCCGAACGACCGUGGGGCGACCCACCUGUAGGACGAUCGUGAAGCCGGUGUCACCUCGUGCGUUUUGAAAAACGAACCAGGGAGUGUGUCUCGUUGGCGAGCCUAACUGAUCGACUCAGGCAGGCGCAGGGAAACCGAUAUGGCCGCAAUCUUUGAUGAGGGCCACCGUGUUCAAGCGCGGGAAGUCAACGGGUCACGACCCGAAACCGAGUGAUCUACACGUGGGCAAGGUGAACCGUGGCGAAAGCCACGUGGAGGCCUGCUAGGGGUGGUAUCUUACAAUAUCCUCCCGUGACCUACGUGUAGGGGUGAAAGGCCCAUCGAACUCGGCAACAGCUGGUUCCAGCCGAAACAUGUCGAAGCAUGAUCUCAGCCGAGGUUGUCAGCGCGGUAGAGCGACCGAUUGGAUGUCCCGCCUCCGAGAGGAGUCGGCCAUCCUGUCAAACUCCGAACGUGCUGACGCUGUAGACGCUGGGAGUCCGGACUGCGGGGUAAGCUUGUGGUCCGUGAGGGAGACAACCCAGAGCAGGGUUAAGGUCCCAAAGUGUGGAUUAAGUGCAACGAAAGAUUGUCUCGAGUCCUAGACAGCCGGGAGGUGAGCUUAGAAGCAGCUACCCUCUAAGAAAAGCGUAACAGCUUACCGGCCGAGAUUCGGGGCGUCGAAAAUGAUCGGGGCUCAAAUCCACCACCGAGACCCUGCGGCACCCAUCACAGGGUGAUCCAGUAGGCUUGGCGCAGCGGUCGGGUAGAAGCACGGUCGAGAGAUCGUGUGGACCGUCCGGUGAUGACAAUCCUGGUCACAGUAGCAGCGAGAGUCGGGUGAGAUCCCCGACGGCCAUAUGAGCAAGGGUUCCUCGGCACUGUCAAUCAGCCGAGGGUCAGCCGGUCCUAAGUGACGCCGUAACACGACCGUCACGAACGGGAAACUGGUUAACAUUCCAGUGCCAUCAUGCACCGAAAUCGACGCUGUGGGGAACAGAGAGCGGGGCUAUCGCCCCGUCCAAGUGGGGAACAUCGUGGACGCCGUCAUGGCACGAAGCGAUCGAAGCCCACGAGUGCGCAAGUCUCUGCUACCCAGAGCCCGUGAAAAGAGAGCGUGAUGUCCGUACCCAGAUCCGACACAGGUGCUCAGGCGGCGAAAGCCACGGCCCGUCGGGACCAACCGGCGUUAGGGAAUUCGGCACGUUAGUCCCGUACCUUCGGAAGAAGGGAUGCCUGCUCGGCGACGAGCAGGUCGCAGUGACUCGGGCGCUCCGACUGUCUAAUAACAACAUAGGUGACCGCAAAUCCGCAAGGACUCGUACGGUCACUGAAUCCUGCCCAGUGCGGGUAUCUGAACACCGCGUACAAGCGGACGAAGGACCCGUCAACGGCGGGGGUAACUAUGACCCUCUUAAGGUAGCGUAGUACCUUGCCGCUUCAGUAGCGGCUUGCAUGAAUGGAUCAACGAG